UUUUCAUCUCUCUACAGGUUGAGUUAUUGUGAUCUCACAGAUGAAGGUUGUGCUGCUCUGACUUCAGCUCUGAGAUUAAACCCCUCACACCUGAGAGAACUGAAUCUGUCUGGGAAUAAAAUAGAAAAUUCAGUGGAUCUGCUGUCUGAUGUACUACAGGAUCCUCACUGUAAACUGGAGAAACUGUGGUUGUGGGAUUGUGGAGUCACAGAUGAAGGUUGUGCUGCUCUGACUUCAGCUCUGAGAUCAAACCCCUCACACCUGAGAGAACUGGAUCUAUCUGGGAAUAAAAUAGGACGUUCAGGACGUGAACUGCUCACUGAUCUAAAGAAUUCUCCACAUUAUAAACUAGAGACACUGCAGUUUUGAGGAAAUUCCCAUUUCCAUUCAAAUAUCCGCUCUGAGUCCGGCUCCACACACUCUCCUCACGGACACUCUCUUCUUUCUCCACUGUAACUUGAGAAAUUCACCACAGUGUUUAUAAACUCCUCUGAUCUGAAUCACGCAGCAGAAACCACAGGGUCCUGAAGCAGAGAGCUCAGAGAGCUGACAGAGAGACACCGUUUGUGUUUCUUGUUAUACAUACUGAAUACAGACUGAUAUUAAUAAUCAUAGCUUUUUAAGACAGGGUUUCAUAAAUGUUAAUGAUGACUGUACAGUAUGUGAGUUAUACAUUAACUCUGUUAACUUGUAUAUAUGUAUAAAAUACUGUAUAACUGUAUAAAUAACAUACAUUUCUGACUGCACUGUAUUAAAGUCUCUCACUCACAUAAAAUUACACUAUUGUCACUUUAAAACUACUUUACAGCACAAUUUGAAUUUGUCUCAUAAUUAAUCACUAAUGUGAUGUUGAUGAAGCUCUAGUCUGAAUGGAGAUGAGAAUAUAGUAGUGCUGUAAUCAUGAAGUGUCUUUUCAAAGCUGUUGUGUAAGAAACUCCAUUUCCAGGGGGCGCUAGUGAGCUAUGGGUCGGUAAGUCGCAUUCCCCUGCAGCUCCCGCAAAAUU